GGCUCAGGACGAACGCUGGCGGCGUGCCUAAUACAUGCAAGUCGAACGGUCUUUCUAUGGAAGCUUGCUCCACUGAGAAGAUAGUGGCGAACGGGUGAGUAACACGUGGGUAACCUGCCCAUAAGAGGGGGGAUAACAUCCGGAAACGGGUGCUAAUACCGCAUAGUUUUCUUGAUCGCAUGAUUGAGAAAGGAAAGACGGCCUUUGUGCUGUCGCUUAUGGAUGGACCCGCGGCGUAUUAGUUAGUUGGUGAGGUAACGGCUCACCAAGACGAUGAUACGUAGCCGACCUGAGAGGGUGAUCGGCCACAUUGGGACUGAGACACGGCCCAAACUCCUACGGGAGGCAGCAGUAGGGAAUCUUCCGCAAUGGACGAAAGUCUGACGGAGCAACGCCGCGUGAGUUGAAGAAGGUUUUCGGAUCGUAAAACUCUGUUGUCAGAGAAGAACAAGUUGGGGAGUAACUGCUCCAGCCUUGACGGUAUCUGACCAGAAAGCCACGGCUAACUACGUGCCAGCCGCCGC
rnacentral:rRNA from 1 species